UACGAAGGGGGCUAGCGUUGUUCGGAUUUACUGGGCGUAAAGCGCACGUAGGCGGCUCGUUAAGUCAGGGGUGAAAUCCUGGAGCUCAACUCCAGAACUGCCUUUGAUACUGGCGAUCUCGAGUCCGGAAGAGGUGAGUGGAACUCCUAGUGUAGAGGUGGAAUUCGUAGAUAUUAGGAAGAACACCAGUGGCGAAGGCGGCUCACUGGUCCGGAACUGACGCUGAGGUGCGAAAGCGUGGGGAGCAAACAGG
rnacentral:rRNA from 1 species